rnacentral:rRNA from 1 species
ACAGGGCGUCAGAGAGGGUGAGAAUCCCGUACGGGACCGGCGGCCAACCCCAUGUGAAACCCCUUCGACGAGUCGAGUUGUUUGGGAAUGCAGCUCAAAUUGGGUGGUAAAUUUCAUCUAAAGCUAAAUACCGGCCAGAGACCGAUAGCGCACAAGUAGAGUGAUCGAAAGAUGAAAAGCACUUUGGAAAGAGAGUCAAAAAGUACGUGAAAUUGUUGAAAGGGAAGCGCUUGCAACCAGACCUGUCCACCGGCGAUCAGCCUCCGUUCUCGGGGGUGCACUCGUCGGCGAUCAGGCCAGCAUCGGUCUGGGCGGUCGGAUAAAGGCCUUGGGAAUGUAGCUCCCUCCGGGGAGUCUUAGAGCCCUCGGUGUAAUGCGGCCAGCUCGGACCGAGGAUCGCGCUUCGGCUAGGAUGCUGGCGUAAUGGUUGUAAGCGACCCGUCUUGAAACACGGACCAAGGAGUCUAACAUCUAUGCAAGUGUUUGGGUGUCAAACCCAUACGCGUAAUGAAAGUGAACGGAGGUGAGAACCCUUUAGGGUGCAUUAUCGACCGAUCCAGAUGUCUUCGGAUGGAUUUGAGUACGAGCAUAGCUGUUGGGACCCGAAAGAUGGUGAACUAUGCCUGAAUAGGGUGAAGCCAGAGGAAACUCUGGUGGAGGCUCGCAGCGGU